UGUGCCGUUACGUCAGGUGGCGGGUUUUUCUGUCACAAGUUGCUUCUGGCGAGAGGGAAACGUCUGCUCUGAUGGAAAUGGCAUGGAAAUGUUUUCUUAUCAUGGGCACAUAGCAGCAUAGAAAUAAACACGCAAAACCAUCAAAUUUAACUUCAGGUUAAGGUUGGAUCACCGGACGGAGAUAGCGAACUGGACCUGUCAGCCAUCGGUGGAGGUUCAUGGCAUCUCACAGGAGCGCUACAGAUUAGCUCGGCAGAAUAGAAAUUCAAUCUGUAGGAUGGGUUUCUGGUUCCAGCAAAUGGCAGCAUGUAAACUGAUAAUGGCGAAGCCAGGGGAAUUGGGUAUGUGUUGGGGGCUGUUCCUGCUGACCUUUCCAUCUCUGAAUCCGCUGAUCCGGAACCGUCUGAUACGGAUCUCAAGUUCCCGAAUCCCCUGUUCCUGAGGUUCCUACUGGACCGCGCUGAGCUCGACUGUUUGAGUUCCUCAGAAUGCUGAUUCUGCAGAAAGUUGUACCACAAAUCUUUGUUGAUAUUGGAAUAUUGUAUUUCAUUAAUCUCAUAAAUAAACAUGAAGAGUUUCCAUUUC